GGGAGGUACUGGCUGAGGGGAGUAGAACACCUGGUUAGGGGAGGUGCUGGCUAGCAGAGUAGAACACCUGGUUAGGGGAGGGGCUGGCUAGCAGAGUAGAACACCUGGUUAGUGGAGGUGCUGGCUAGCAGAGUAGAACACCUGGUUAGGGGAGGUACUGGGCUAGCAGAGUAGAACACCUGGUUAGGGGAGGUACUGGGCUAGCAGAGUAGAACACCUGGUUAGGGGAGGUACUGGGCUAGCAGAGUAGAACACCUGGUUAGAGGAGGCGCUGGCUAGCAGAGUAGAACACCUGGUUAGGGGAGGUACUGGGCUAGCAGAGGAGAACACCUGGUUAGGGGAGGUACUGGCUAGCAGAGUAGAACACCUGGUUAGGGGAGGUGCUGGCUAGCAGAGUAGAACACCUGGUUAGGGGAGGUACUGGCUAGCAGAGUAGAACACCUGGUUAGGGGAGGUACUGGCUAGCAGAGUAGAACACCUGGUUAGGGGAGGUGCUGGCUAGCAGAGUAGAACACCUGGUUAGGGGAGGUGCUGGGCUAGCUGAGUAGAACACCUGGUUAGGGGAGGUACUGGCUAGCAGAGUAGAACACCUGGUUAGGGGAGGUGCUGGCUAGCAGAGUAGAACACCUGGUUAGGCGAGGUGCUGGCUGAGGGGAGUAAAAC
ensembl:lncRNA